rnacentral:SRP_RNA from 1 species
GCUAGGUGUGGUGGUGCGCGCCUGUAGUCCCAGCUACUAGGGAAGCUGAGGCAGGAGAAUCGCUUGAACCCCGGAGGCUGAGACUGCCGUGAGCAGAGAUCGCGCCACUGCACUCCAGCCUGGGUGACAGAGCGAGACUCUGUCUCAA